UACGUAGGGUGCAAGCGUUGUCCGGAAUUAUUGGGCGUAAAGAGCUCGUAGGCGGUUUGUUGCGUCGGCUGUGAAAUCCCGAGGCUCAACCUCGGGUCUGCAGUCGAUACGAGCAAACUUGAGUGUUGCAGGGGAGACUGGAAUUCCUGGUGUAGCGGUGAAAUGCGCAGAUAUCAGGAGGAACACCGGUGGCGAAGGCGGGUCUCUGGGCAACAACUGACGCUGAGACGCGAAAGCGUGGGGAGCAAACAGG
rnacentral:rRNA from 1 species